rnacentral:rRNA from 1 species
UACGUAGGAAGCAAGCGUUGUCCGGAAUUACUGGGCGUAAAGCGCGAUGUAGGCGGUACGACAAGUCUGCUGUGAAAGCGCCCGGCUUAACCGGGCGAGGUCGGUGGAAACUGUCGCACUGGAGGCCGGUAGAGGGGGGUGGAAUUCCCGGUGUGAGUGGUGAAAUGCGUAGAGAUCGGGAGGAACACCUGUGGCGAAGGCGGCCCCCUGGGCCGCGCCUGACGCUGAGACGCGAAAGCGCGGGGAGCGA